GCGGGGCGGCUGCGCCGGGUGCGGGGGCUACCGGCUGCUCCCGGGUCGCGCCCGUCCGCUCCACGUCCGGAGCCGGGUUUGCACAAACAACUUCGAGAACACCGGCCGACGGAGGAGCAGACGCAGGAGUACAGCGCGGCGGGAGGCAUCAGCGCGCGGCAAACGCCUUCACACCGGCUUAGACACCUAGCAUGGAAGGGCCUUGGGCGUUCGCUUUCUCUCCACGUCAUUUCCCAAACUUUAUUAAAGUUCUGACAAGGCAACAACUCUGUUUUAACCACCUCAGAGGAAAAAAGUCUUAAAUAAAUUAUUCCAAACAUUUCCUAAA